GACGAACGCUGGCGGCGUGCCUAAUACAUGCAAGUUGAGCGCUGAAGGUUGGUACUUGUACCAACUGGAUGAGCAGCGAACGGGGGAGUAACGCGUGGUGAAUCUGCCUUUGAGCGGGGGACAACAUGUGGAAACGAAUGCUAAUACCGCAUAAAAACGUUAAACAGAAGUUUUAAGUUUGAAAGAGGCAAUUGCAUCACUCAAAGAUGAUCCCGCGUUGUAUUAGCUAGUUGGUGAGGUAAAGGCUCACCCAGGCGAUGAUACAUAGCCGACCUGAGAGGGGGAUCGGCCACAUUGGGACUGAGACACGGCCCAAAAUCCUACGGGAGGCAGCAGUAGGGAAUCUUCGGCAAUGGACGAAAGUCUGACCGAGCAAAGCCGCGUGAGUGAAGAAGGUUUUCGGAUCGUAAAACCCUGUUGGUAGAGAAGAACGUUGGUGAGAGUGGAAAGCUCAUCAAGUGACGGUAACUACCCAGAAAGGGACGGCUAACUACGUG
rnacentral:rRNA from 1 species